CCAAUGCGAUAUUCGUAAAAGUUUAAUUUUUUUGGCGAGAGUUUUCUCCCCUAUCUUCAUAACGAAGAAAUAGUCAGUAGUUGUUUUUCUCUCAAUUUGUGUUCGUUUGUUUUUCGGCUUAGGCCGAGUUAUUUUUUUGUUGGCCUGUUUGCCAAUGUGUUGAUAGUGCAAAAUAUGUUAAAUUUUUAAUAAAAUAAUCGUAUAGCAUCCUUUACUAUGGGUCUGGUGAGUUACUUUAUCAUCAACACCACUUGAUGAAGCAUUCGCUGGAUUGCAAAUUCACUUCACGCAAUCGCGCAAAAUGCAACGGGAAAUUAGAAACAAAUCACACUUAUAUAGACAGCAAUGUUGAAUGAUAAGAAUUAGGCAACGUAUUCAAGUCUAUCUGACAAACAGCUAAGGAUCAGCAAAGAAUUUUGGUCGUAACAGCAGAACUUAAUUGUUUUAACAGCAAGAAAAGUGAAUAUUAAAUACAAAAUUAAAGAAUCCUUGAAAUCAAGAUUCGUCAGCUCUGGACUAUAUUUCGGAGAAUAUCGAAUCAAGAUUGCUAUACAGGCAACAAGAGAUCAAAAAUAUUUCCCGAACAAAUCUUCUUUAUUGUUUCCGACCACCUUGUUGUACGUGCUAAUGUUUGUAAAAGCAAUAAUAGCUGUAAUUUUUAGCGUUUUUUUUUAUCUCGUUUGCUUAAUAAACCCUCCUUUAACUUUU